rnacentral:rRNA from 1 species
AACGAACGCUGGCGGCGUGCCUAACACAUGCAAGUCGAACGGAAUUUGAGAGCUUGCUCUUAAAUUUAGUGGCGCACGGGUGAGUAACGCGUGGAUAAUCUGCCUGACGAUCUGGGAUAACAUCUCGAAAGGGGUGCUAAUACCGGAUAAGCCCACGGGGACUUCGGUUCUUGCGGGAAAAGGGGGGGACCUUCGGGCCUUCUGUCGUCAGAUGAGUCCGCGUACCAUUAGCUAGUUGGUAGGGUAAAGGCCUACCAAGGCUACGAUGGUUAGCUGGUUGAGGAGAAUGAUCAGCCACACUGGAACUGAGACACGGUCCAGACUCCUACGGGAGGCAGCAGUGGGGAAUUUUGCGCAAUGGGCGAAAGCCUGACGCAGCAACGCCGCGUGAGUGAUGAAGGCUUUCGGGUCGUAAAGCUCUGUCAGGGGGGAAGAAGUGUAUUGUGGCUAAUAUCCACGAUACUUGACGGUACCCCCAAAGGAAGCACCGGCUAACUCCGUGCCAGCCGCCGCCGUAAGAC